UAGGUCUUGAAGAAACACAAAGAUAGGUAGAGGACUGUGGCCCUAAAAUUCUCGGGCAUCCGUCUUGGCAGUUGCUGGAGUUCGUCAUUCCGUCAGCAUCUUCUUCCUCCCGGGUUCUGCGAGCUUCAUCAGCUCGCCUUCAUUGUCUUCCGGCUCAUCUCAUUCCGCGUUCUCUCGGUCCUUGUGGCCAUUCUUGUGGCCCAGAGUUUUGUCUCCCCGUUGUGUCCCCUCGUCUGUUGUCUUGUGUGUCACGGGUGUCUGGGUGUAGUUGUCCCGGAGCUGCUCUGUCCUGCUGCCCAGCCUGGGUGUAGGUGUAGAAGGCCAAGUCUCAGGCCCCUGUAAUUUGAAAUUUGUGAUGUAGGGUGUAGUUGGAGUCUAGCGGGUGUGCCUAGAUGGACACAAGAUGUCAGGAGCUGUGAAGUUACCCUGCAGCACUUUGACUUUUGUCUCAGCUUUCUUUCAGAUGCACACGGAUGAAAUCGGUGGCAGAGCGCCCCAUCCAGGGUAAGGGGGUUCCCCCGAGAAGGUAAGUCAAUGUUUGUCUUUGCAGGGCAACUGGAACCGGUCACUGUGUUACAGGUCUCCUCUUUGUCUUUAUUUUUAGGAAGUGAAGCCGGCUAGCAGCAGUCAAGGCGAAGCGGGCGAGGUGGUCCAGUCACAUUUCGCCGAGAUCCCCUCCCCAACCAACCGGCCGGCACAGCUGUUUCGCCGCUCCCGUGAGCCCUGCGGAAGCGUUACAGGACCGUGUGAUGAAGCCUUGGCCUUUUCCACGUAAAGGGGCCGUGUGGGUGGCCUUCAGGAACGGGCCGAGGGGUUGCCGCGCGCCCUGCGACGACGGCGUCCGGCUCCCGGCGUGGCCGAAGCGUGCGUCCUCAGGACGCGGCCGUUCACAGGAGACCCUGACCCAGAAGACAGCAGCCUGGCGAUGGCAGGAACUUCCCAGAUGGCGAGGCGCCCUUCCUUGGCGCUCCACGUGGGUCCUCCCCGCCGGGCAUCCGAGAGCUAAGUCGAAGGCUAUGAAUUGCAGAGGGGCUGAAAGUGGGGUGCCGGGUCGGGACUCUGGAUCUGGGAUUUUUAAGUCAGCUUUGGGGAUGGGGAGGUCCAGGCUGUGGCCCCUUAGGCCACGUGAAGGGAGAGCCUCACUUUUGUUCACAGUGCUGAGGUGCGCAGGACAGAGCAGUCCCGGGGCGUGUAGUAUCACUUGUCCGUCGUGCCUUCUGUGUCUUUUGUGCCUCUCCUGUUGUAUGUGCCUCGCCUUAUUUCUUCUGGGGGCUUACCAGAAACCCCGGUGUCGCUCGUACCAUCUCCGAUCUCUGGGCUCUUCAGCCCGAUGCCAUCGAAGCUUUGCCUCAGGAGCUCGCAGAGGCCUUGGAAUUGCAUCUGUUUUGGAAAGCAUCCGAUCGGAUGUCUUUUAGAGGUCUUGUUCCGAGCUGUGUCAACAGCCGUGCGCCGCGAGGAUCCAUUGUUGCGGCUUAGGUCUUGAAGAAACGCAGAGAUAGGUAGGGGGCUGUGGCCCUAAAAUUCUCGGGCAUCCGUCUUGGCAGUUGCUGGAGUUCGUCAUUCCGUCAGCAUCUUCUUCCUCCCGGGUUCUGCGAGCUUCAUCAGCUCGCCUUCAUUGUCUUCCGGCUCAUCUCAUUCCGCGUUCUCUCGGUCCUUGUGGCCGUUCUUGUGGCCCAGAGUUUUGUCUCCCCGUUGUGUCCCCUCGUCUGUUGUCUUGUGUGUCACGGGUGUCUGGGUGUAGUUGUCCCGGAGCUGCUCUGUCCUGCUGCCCAGCCUGGGUGUAGGUGUAGAAGGCCAAGUCUCAGGCCCCUGUAAUUUGAAAUUUGUGAUGUAGGGUGUAGUUGGAGUCUAGCGGGUGUGCCUAGAUGGACACAAGAUGUCAGGAGCUGUGAAGUUACCCUGCAGCACUUUGACUUUUGUCUCAGCUUUCUUUCAGAUGCACACGGAUGAAAUCGGUGGCAGAGCGCCCCAUCCAGGGUAAGGGGGUUCCCCCGAGAAGGUAAGUCAAUGUUUGUCUUUGCAGGGCAACUGGAACCGGUCACUGUGUUACAGGUCUCCUCUUUGUCUUUAU